ensembl:miRNA MIR4739 microRNA 4739
GGGAGGAAGAAGGGAGGAGGAGCGGAGGGGCCCUUGUCUUCCCAGAGCCUCUCCCUUCCUCCCCUCCCCCUCCC